UUCUGUCUCAAGGGAUGAUGCCCACUCUUUGCGUUCUGUGUAGGCGAAGGCUGGGGCUCCACCUGAAGGUUCUGCCACCAGGAUUACAGUAGGGCUAGGUGUUUUCCCCAGGGUCUCUGCGGUGUGAGUCCUCUCGUGUCAUCGAGGGUCAGCUCAUUGAACUACAGGCUUUCACGGAGCAGGCAGCCCCCCUGGACUCGAGACUCUGGCAAACCGUCCUCCUUCCCCGCACACGCCUCCUCCUGGCUUCGGAUGGGAAAUCACGUCUGAUGCGCAGAGCCGAGAAGCUGUCUGUGGACAACAGGGUACGUGGAUGUCGGUUCUGGGCUGCGAGCUGUGUGGGAUCUUCCACGCCAGGGCGGGAGGAGGAACGAGGAGGACAAGCACAGGGAAGAGCAGCUGGACCCCGGGGAGUACGGAGGGUCCUUCCUCAGAGCGGGAACAACAACGACCGCCUCGGGCUCAGAGACAUUUGGGGGUGGCGGGGUG